ensembl:snRNA U6 U6 spliceosomal RNA
GUGUUCUCUUUGCUAACCCAUAAGUUAAAAGAAGAGCAAUACAGAAAAGAUUAGCCUAGUUUGUGCACAAGUAUGACACACAAAAUCACAGUCAUCCGUAUUUUUUU